rnacentral:rRNA from 1 species
GACGAACGCUGGCGGCGUGCUUAACACAUGCAAGUCGAACGGAAAGGCCCUGCUUUUGUGGGGUGCUCGAGUGGCGAACGGGUGAGUAACACGUGAGUAACCUGCCCUUGACUUUGGGAUAACUUCAGGAAACUGGGGCUAAUACCGGAUAGGAGCUCCUGCUGCAUGGUGGGGGUUGGAAAGUUUCGGCGGUUGGGGAUGGACUCGCGGCUUAUCAGCUUGUUGGUGGGGUAGUGGCUUACCAAGGCUUUGACGGGUAGCCGGCCUGAGAGGGUGACCGGCCACAUUGGGACUGAGAUACGGCGCAGACUGCUACGGGGGGCAGCAGUGGGGAAUAUUGCACAAUGGGCGGAAGCCUGAUGCAGCAACGCCGCGUGCGGGAUGACGGCCUUCGGGUUGUAAACCGCUUUCGCCUGUGACGAAGCGUGAGUGACGGUAAUGGGUAAAGAAGCACCGGCUAACUACGUG